AUGGUGAUGGUGAUGAUGAUGAUGAUAAUGGUGAUAAUGAUGGUAUGAUGGUAGUGAUAAUGGUGAUGAUGUUGGUGAUGGGGAUGAUAGUAGUGGUGAUGAUGAUGGUGAUGGUGGGUGUUGGUGGUGAUAGUGGUGAUUAUGAUGAUGGUGGUGAUGAUGGUGAUGGUGAUAAUGGUGAUGAUGAUGGUGAUUAUGAUAAUGGUGGUGAUGGUGAUGAUGGUAUUAUGAUAGUGAUGAUGGUGAUGGUGGUGAUGGUGAUGAUGGUGGUGAUGAUGGUGAUGAUAAUGGUGACAGUGAUGGUAUGAUGAUAGUGAUAAUGGUGAUGAUGUUGGUGAUGGGGAUGGUGGUGGCGAUGAUGGCGAUGAUG
rnacentral:lncRNA from 1 species